CUGGGGGAUUGAGAAAUACUGAACCAUUAAAAAAGUUAGUCACUGUACCAUUAGAAGUCACUGUACCAUUGAGAAAUACUGAACCAUUAAAAAAGUUAGUCACUGUACCAUUAAGUACAUUUGCAAAACUACUUGGAAAAGAUGGCGACCUAGAAUCCUACCAAAACAAUUUAUAUCACAAAAAUACAGUUUUACAAGUUGACGAGUUUUUAAUCCGUUGUGAGCAGCCAGAAAAAGAAGUUCUUAAUUUGAUUGACAGUGAAAAAAAAAGGCAAAUAAGUGAAAAUAGAGAAAGAAUUACACCUAUUAUAAAGUCAAUAAUUUUUUUAGCAAGACAAAACAUUCCUCUUAGAGGGCAUAGAGAUGAUGGAGAUCUAUUAACUGAUACUAUUUUAAAAACAUCUGUUAUUAAUAAAGGGAACUUUAGAGAACUUUUAAGAUUUCGAAUAAAAUCUGAGAUAAGAUUUAGAAAAUCAUCUUAACACAACUCAUGCUAAAGCUACAUAUAUAAGUAAUAUUAUUCAAGAAGAAAUAAUAGAAUCCUGCAAAGAAGAAAUUAUUAAUAAAAUAUUGUCAGAUAUCUUAUUUAUAAGAAGGUUAUCUACCAUCUACAGUAUUAGAUGGCUUGGAUUAUUGUCCAGAUAUAUUGUUCCCAAGUAUAAGAACAAUACUUUUAAUUAUUGGUUGUCUGCCUAUUAGCAUUGCAUCAUCUGAAAGAAGUUUUUCUACUUUGAGAAGAUUAAAAGAUUGGUUACGAUCCCGAAUGAGCCAAGAUAGAUUGAAUGGUUUAGCUCUAAUUUAUGUUCAUAGGGAAAAGGAAUUGUCAACAGAUAGCAUUAUUGAACGGUUUUCAAGAGUUAAAAAAAGAAACAUUGAAUUUAUAUUAUAAUGUUGCAUUUAGUUUAUAGAUAAACGGUUCGUUUUUGUUAA